rnacentral:rRNA from 1 species
CUUGCCCGGGAACUACGAGCCUCAGCUUAAAACCCAAAGGACUUGGCGGUGCUUUAGUCCCCCCUAGAGGAGCCUGUUCUAGAACCGAUAAUCCCCGUUUAACCUCACCCUCCCUUGUUCCUCCCGCCUAUAUACCGCCGUCGUCAGCUUGCCCUAUGAAGGACACACAGCAGGCACAAUUGGCAAAACCCAAAACGCCAGGUCGAGGUGUAGCUUACGAGAGGGGAAGAAAUGGGCUACAUUCCCUGAUCCAGGGAACAACGGAAAAUGGCUUGAAACAGACAUUUGAAGGAGGAUUUAGCAGUAAGAAAAGAAAGAGAACCUUUCUGAAACCGGCCCUGAAGCGCGCACACACCGCCCGUCACUCUCCCCAAAACACCAUUAGACAAUAAAUAAAAAGUAAUCAAAACAAAGGGGAGGCAAGUCGUAACAUGGUAAGUGUACCGGAAGGUGCACUUGGAAAAAC